rnacentral:rRNA from 1 species
GAUGAACGCUGGCGGCGUGCCUAAUACAUGCAAGUCGAGCGAACAGACGAGGAGCUUGCUCCUCUGACGUUAGCGGCGGACGGGUGAGUAACACGUGGAUAACCUACCUAUAAGACUGGGAUAACUUCGGGAAACCGGAGCUAAUACCGGAUAAUAUAUUGAACCGCAUGGUUCAAUAGUGAAAGACGGUUUUGCUGUCACUUAUAGAUGGAUCCGCGCCGCAUUAGCUAGCUGGUAAGGUAACGGCUUACCAAGGCAACGAUGCGUAGCCGACCUGAGGGGGUGAUCGGCCACACUGGAACUGAGACACGGUCCAGACUCCUACGGGAGGCAGCAGUAGGGAAUCUUCCGCAAUGGGCGAAAGCCUGACGGAGCAACGCCGCGUGAGUGAUGAAGGUCUUCGGAUCGUAAAACUCUGUUAUUAGGGAAGAACAAAUGUGUAAGUAACUAUGCACGUCUUGACGGUACCUAAUCAGAAAGCCACGGCUAACUACGUG